ensembl:ribozyme RNase_MRP RNase MRP
GGGCAUUCGGAACACUUGCACUCUGGGCUACUGACUGAGAACCAGUUUCUCCCCCUCCGCCCAGGGGAAAGUCCCCGGACCCGAGACAGAAAGUGUCCUGGUUGAAUCCAGCGUCGACCGGUGAGGCGCAGUGUUUGAAGCUAAGACGUUCCAAUGAACCGAGCUUCGUCAUUGCCGGUCGACUUUGUCAGUUAAAUAGUCAUGCAAGUAAGCAGCUACUUAACAGAACGGGGCUCAUUCUCGGAAUGCG